GGCAGGAUGGCCGAAUGGUCUAAGGCGCUGGUUUUAGGCACCAGUCACUUCGGUGGCGCGGAUUCGAAUCCCGUUCCUGUCA
rnacentral:tRNA from 1 species